rnacentral:rRNA from 1 species
CACGUAGGGUGCGAGCGUUGUCCGGAAUUAUUGGGCGUAAAGAGCUCGUAGGCGGUGUGUCGCGUCGGCCGUGAAAACCUGCAGCUUAACUGUGGGCUUGCGGUCGAUACGGGCAGACUAGAGUUCGGCAGGGGAGACUGGAAUUCCUGGUGUAGCGGUGAAAUGCGCAGAUAUCAGGAGGAACACCGGUGGCGAAGGCGGGUCUCUGGGCCGAUACUGACGCUGAGGAGCGAAAGCGUGGGGAGCGAACAGG